rnacentral:ribozyme from 1 species
UUUUUUUUUUUUUUUUUUUUUUUUUUUUUUUUUUUUUUUUGUUUAAUGCACCUUUAAUGCAC